rnacentral:rRNA from 1 species
AGGAUUCCCCUAGUAACUGCGAGUGAAGCGGGAAAAGCUCAAAUUUAAAAUCUGAUAGUCUUAGGCUGUCCGAGUUGUAAUCUAGAGAAGUGUUAUCCGCGCUGGACCGUGUACAAGUCUCCUGGAAUGGAGCGUCAUAGAGGGUGAGAAUCCCGUCUUUGACACGGACUACCAGGGCUUUGUGAUGCGCUCUCAAAGAGUCGAGUUGUUUGGGAAUGCAGCUCAAAAUGGGUGGUAAAUUCCAUCUAAAGCUAAAUAUUGGCGAGAGACCGAUAGCGAACAAGUACCGUGAGGGAAAGAUGAAAAGAACUUUGGAAAGAGAGUUAAACAGUACGUGAAAUUGCUGAAAGGGAAACGCUUGAAGUCAGUCGCGUUGACCAGGGAUCAACCUUGCUCUUGCUGGGUGUACUUUCUGGUUAACGGGUCAACAUCAAUUUUGAUUGUUGGAAAAAGAUCAAGGGAAUGUAGCAUCUUCGGAUGUGUUAUAGCCUUUGGUUAUAUACAACAAUUGGGAUUGAGGAACUCAGCACGCCGAAAGGCCGGGUUUUUAACCACGUUCGUGCUUAGGAUGUUGGCAUAAUGGCUUUAAUCGACCCGUCUUGAAACACGGACCAAGGAGUCUAACAUGCCUGCGAGUGUUUGGGUGGAAAACCCGAGCGCGUAAUGAAAGUGAAAGUUGAGAUCCCUGUCGCGGGGAGCAUCGACGCCCGGACCAGAAAUUUAUGGACGGUUCCGCGGUAGAGCAUGUAUGUUGGGACCCGAAAGAUGGUGAACUAUGCCUGAAUAGGGUGAAGCCAGAGGAAACUCUGGUGGAGGCUCGUAGCGAUUCUGACGUGCAAAUCGAUCGUCAAAUUUGGGUAUAGGGGCGAAAGACUAAUCGAACC